AAUGAACGCUGGCGGCAUGCCUAAUACAUGCAAGUCGAGCGACAACACAGUAAGCUCGUUCUCUUGCCGUUAGCGGCUGGCGGACGUGUAACUCGUACAUCACCUUCUUCUUUUUCUGGGGUGACUUCGGGAGGACACUUACACUAAUGACUCAUACGAUCUACGGCUUGAUUCAAUAGAGAUUCACACUUUUCCCGAUUCUUAUAGACGGGGUCGGGUUAGCUAGUCGGCGUGGUAAAGUCCCACCAAGGCAACGCUCCGUAGCGGGUCUGAGAGGAUGAUCAGCAACACUGGAACUGAGACACGGUCCAGACUCCUACGGGAGGCAGCAGUGGGGAAUAUUGGACAAAGGGCGAAAGCCUGAUCCAGCCAUACCGCGUGGGUGAAGAAGGUCUUCGGGUUGUAAAGCCCUUUUGUUGGGAAAGAAAAGCAGCAGGUUAAUAACCCGCUGUUCUGACGGUACCAAAAGAAUAAGCACCGGCUAACUUCGUG
rnacentral:rRNA from 1 species